UAUGGAGGGUUUGAUCCUGGCUCAGGGCUAACGCUGGCGGCGUGUCUUAGCCAUGCAAGUCGUGCGGGGGUAAGAGAUGAACCUUCGGGUUCGACUCUUACCCUAGCGGCGGACGGCGGAGUAACACGUGGCUAACCUGCCCCUGGGAGGGGGAUAACCACCCGAAAGGGUGGCUAAUACCCCAUACAGUCCUGAAGGGGCAUCC
rnacentral:rRNA from 1 species